rnacentral:rRNA from 1 species
GACGAACGCUGGCGGCGUGCUUAACACAUGAAAGUCGAACGAAGUGGCGAACGGGUGAGUAACGCGUAAUCAACCUGCCCUUCAGAGGGGGACAACAGUUGGAAACGAAUGCUAAUACCGCAUACUGAAGGAGGGGCUUGCGUCUGAUUAGAUAGUUGGGGGGGGAACGGCCCACCAAGGCGAUGAUCAGUAGCCGGUCUGAAAGGAAGAACGGCCACAUUGGGACCGAGAAACGGCCCAGACUCCUACGGGAGGCAGCAUGUGGGAAUCUUCCGCAAUGGACGAAAGUCUGACGGAGCAACGCCGCGUGAGGGAUGACGGCCUUCGGGUUGGAAAGCUCUGUUAAUCGGGACGCGGUACCGGAAUAGAAAGCCACGGCUAACUACGUGCCAGCAGCCGCGGUAAUUC